rnacentral:misc_RNA from 1 species
GCGGAACUUGGCGUUAUCAUAGUGAACAUCUUUCAUGGAGUAAGGGAGGGAUUUCGACAUGUUCAAAUAAAAUUAGGGUUUCUUCCAAUGAUCUGCCUCGCUCUGGUAUCUACAGAAUGCAGAGAGAAAACAGAGCGGCAAAGGGAGAGUAGCAGAGAAGAUUGGAUCAAAACAGAGAAUCGGAUCCAAUCAAAUAAGUGACGGAUAAAUUAAAGAGAAAUGGAAAAUUGUAUUUGUGGGCGGGGAAUUGGAUUCGCGGGAAUGGUAAAAGAACCCAACUCCUAACUUCUUUGCUUGUUUGUUUCGGUGUGGUUUGGUUUUUGCUUAGGUUUGACAAACGAGACAGAGCGAGCAAGAGACAGAAUUUAAAUAGGAUGCACGCUAUUCUAUUACGCCAGUCAACCGGACAGAGAGACUUUUCUGUUUUCUCCGCGUCUUUGGCACGUUCGCCGUUGCCGCCCUCACCUUUUCGUUUACGGGCAGUGAUUAUUGCAUGAAUUGCAU